rnacentral:rRNA from 1 species
GUGUAGGCGGUUCGGUAAGUCGGGUGUGAAAUCCCAGGGCUCAACCCUGGAACUGCACUCGAUACUGCCGGACUAGAGUCUCGGAGAGGGUGGCGGAAUUCCCGGUGUAGAGGUGAAAUUCGUAGAUAUCGGGAGGAACACCAGUGGCGAAGGCGGCCACCUGGACGAUGACUGACGCUCAGACCCGAAAGCGUGGGGAGCAAACA